GCACGCGUACCUGGCUCGACCCUCCCUCUCGACAGGACUACAGCCGUGCGCGCGCGCACCUACGCACGUAGCGUCGCGUACAUCCACCUGCCCGCCGUACAGGGCGCCGAGGAGAGGCGUCUCUCUGGCCCAUCCGCGCCGCGCAGGCGCACGCCCACGCAGCGCCCAGCUCCCGGCCCGAGCGUCCCGUCUCCUAGUAACCAGCCGCGAGACUUCUUUCCGUACCCGCGGCCCGGGCCGGUCGCACCUGGCGGGAACGCGCAUGCGCAGGCGCCUCCGCUCCCUCUGGGACACCUGCUGCUUGGUGGCGGUGUCUUUGUGCUAGUUGGCCCCGGGAGCCGGAAUCGUCUGGGACCUGAGUUCGGCGAGCCCAUUACUCCUCAGAGCUGCUGUUGGCGCAGCCGCUGCCGCAGCCGACGGGGCCGGUUUCCAGGAAGCCUACCAGUUGAAUUACAGAUACUCGGUUUUUACAGCAGUCCUCUGAUGCCCUAGAUGUAAUAUACACCUGUGCGUUUUGAAAGUAAGAUUUGUUUAAGGAGACAAUUCCUGUAAUAAAGUUGAAGAAACAUUUCCACAACUUAAAAAGGUGCCUGCGAACCACUGUGGUAUCUGUUCAGCAGUCCCAAUGGGAUUUUCACUCAGCAAAUCUGUCACUCAGAACAUCAAUUUUUAGAAGAGAAAAACAGAAAAAACAUACAAGUCUUUCAUUGGCAUAUCUGCCCUGGCAGUGUGCUUUGUGCUGGAGAUACGCAGUGAGUAAGCAGCCACGGCCUUCACAGCACUGUCCACCAGAGAAGACAAAAACAUUACAGACUAACUGCAGAAGAUAAAACUGACGUGCCUGGGAGAAAAACUGAAGCAUUUAGAGAGAUAAUAGGAGGCACAACACAUAAACUCGAUUUUAAUUGUGAGAACUAGGAGGGCUAGUUCUCACAAUGUCUCUGAGGACAUGACAUUUAUAGUUUUUGCAUUGACAUGCUUGUCCAAGUAGAUUAUGACAAGAGUCCAGGAGAACUUGGCAGAUGUGGUGAUGGCUGGGAAGUGGAAAGUAAGGAAGAAGAAAGGGUUUCUAGCAAGAAAGGGCAACACAUGAAAAUCCCCUGAGGGGAAGAGAGAAUUCAGGUGCACGGAUUUCGGACAUCCUAGGUUUCUAAAGUAGUUAUAUAUAUGGAACUAAAAAAUAUUUUGGGGGGCCUGCAUGGUGGCUCAGUUGGUUAAUCCUCCGCCUGCAGCGCCGGCAUCCCAUUUGGGUGCCGGGUUAUAGUCCCGGCUGCUCCUCUUACAGUCGAGCUCUCUGGUGUGGCCUGAGAAGGCAGUGGAGGAUGGCCCAAGUGCUUGGACCCUGCACCCACAUGGGAGACUAGGAGGAAGCACCUGGCUCCUGGCUUCGGAUCCGUGCAGUGCCGGCCGUGGUGGCCAUUUGGGGGGUGAACCAACGGAAGGAGGACCUUUCUCUCUCUCUCUCUCUCUCUCACUGUCUAACUCUGCCUGUCAAAAAAAAAAAUUUGAAGUUGUAUUCAGAUGUGGUAUUUAUAAAGCCAUAGGAAUGAGGGAGAUUGUUUAAGGAGAACACACAGUGUGAGAUAAAAACCGAAACGGUUAGCGGCUGAUGAGAACAGGAACAGCUGGGCGCUGAGGAUUUGGCAAUGGGGCUGGAGAAAAACCGGGGCAGGUGAACGUCAAGGUCACCCACAGGAGUCUUGCCAGGUAGAGGCCGUGAGCCGAGAGGUUAGAUGAAGAACAGUGAAAGUCCGUUGGAUCUGCCAACACGAUGUCACCAGUGACCUGGGUCAGAAGCACUUCCGCUGGGACAGUGAGGCAAAAGCCAUUUUAGAGCAGAUUUGGAAGUGGGGAAGUAGAAGCAGCUCUGCUUUGAAGGGAGUGGAAGGAUGAAGGUGGAAGAAGUGAGGACUGUUGAGAUGAGACAGGGUACGCGUGUCUGAGUGUCACAGAGAGGCGAAGAGGUAGGAGAGGGAGUAAGAAUAACCAAGGGACAGAAGCCUUAGAGGAGGGAGAAAGGCAGGGGACCCUUAACACCACCUCAGAAGACAAUAGGGGCCGGGUACGGGGCGGGGGAGAGCCAUCUUAAUUUCCAAAGAAAUGGCAUUUAGCAGGGAUAUAAGCAGAGUAACAAUAUUAUGUGGUUAUUUCAAAUAGGAAAAUGCCUAUGGGAAUUAAAUUCUGAACACUAAUCCCACGUGCAUGAUGCAAGACCGACUCUGGGUGACUGUUCACAGGUGUAAUGAUAAAUGAGGGGUCACUGGGUCUUCACCGUAGCUCUAUAGGACACCCUGGUCAGAUGCAGUAUUGGCACCACCAAGUGGUGAACCUUGAUCACUUCUUACUCCAAGAGGCAAGACUUGUCUUCCACUGUCACUGAAAAAGAAGGUUUACUAAACUCUAUGGGCCCAUUACCCGACCCCUUACCUCUGGGCUGGCUUUGUUGUUGCUUUGGCAAACAACGCAGCUGAAGGGCUGCUGCUAAGGCUCUGCCCAACCAGCCCAGUGCAGCCAGCCCUGGCCUAGGGAAGCCCGGGGAGAAGCUCUGGUGAUACCAGCAGAGGAAUCACCCAACCUGCCACAUGAUUGCUAGAGACCAUAAGUCCUUGUAAGCCACUAAUGUUGGUGGCAGUUUGUUAAGGCAUGCAAUAGUGAGUUGAAACUAUGACCAUGCUACCUUAGCAGCUGGGGGGAUUUCCUGCCAAAUGGUAUGAGGGACACCC